rnacentral:rRNA from 1 species
UACGUAGGGUGCAAGCGUUAAUCGGAAUUACUGGGCGUAAAGCGUGCGCAGGCGGUGAUGUAAGACAGGUGUGAAAUCCCCGGGCUUAACCUGGGAAUGGCAUUUGGGACUGCAAGGCUGGAGUACGGCAGAGGGGGAUGGAAUUCCGCGUGUAGCAGUGAAACGCGUAGAUAUGCGGAGGAACACCGAUGGCGAAGGCAAUCCCCUGGGCCUGUACUGACGCUCAUGCACGAAAGCGUGGGGAGCAAACAGG